UACGUAGGGUGCAAGCGUUGUCCGGAAUUAUUGGGCGUAAAGAGCUCGUAGGCGGUCUGUCGCGUCGGCUGUGAAAACCCGGAGCUCAACUCCGGGCCUGCAGUCGAUACGGGCUAGCUAGAGUGUGGUAGGGGAGAUCGGAAUUCCUGGUGUAGCGGUGAAAUGCGUAGAUAUCAGGAGGAACACCUGCGGUGUAGACGGCUUUCUGGACCAUUGCUGACGCUGAGACACGAAAGCGUGGGUAGCAAACAGG
rnacentral:rRNA from 1 species